UAAUAAAGUUAAUAUUAUAAAAAUCUGACAACGUCAAAACCGACAUAACUGACAAUAAUAAAAUUUAUUUGAUAUUAUUUUUAUAAAAUAUUUUAAUGGAUCGUUGCCGUUGCGAGGAAUAUAAAGCCGCUGUGAAGAAACUGAGAUUCUACACCGUAGGAACACUCAGGCCUGAUAUUAUUGAUAAUUAUGAUAGAACUGGUUACCAAGUAGCCUGGAUAAAAAAUGGCGUGAAUUAUACGGAUUUAAGGUUCUCCAAGCCAAGAGCGAGUAAGAUUCUGUCGCCUGAAGAAUUGCCAGAGAAUCGAAUGUCGAAGGAAGCCCGCGUGGUGAACCAAAUGUGGUGUCCUUAUAUGACUCCCAUCAAAAUUUAGACAUGUAUGUCAUUUUUUUCUAAAAAAAAUAUGUUAAAUCAUCAUCCAUAAUGGAGGGUUGUAAAAACGAAAUAAAUUCUUAUUAUAUUGCCUUGUUUUUAAA